UAAAAAGUGGUGUAGAGCUCGUAGGAUUUUGAUUCCUAAGGAAAAAACUAAAUGUUUUUCUUUUUAA
rnacentral:tRNA from 1 species